rnacentral:rRNA from 1 species
UACAGAGGGUGCGAGCGUUAAUCGGAAUUACUGGGCGUAAAGCGUGCGUAGACGGCUAUCUAAGUCGGGUGUGAAAGCCCCGGGCUCAACCUGGGAAUUGCGAUGGAGACUGCAAGGCUUGAAUCUGGCAGAGGGGGGUAGAAUUCCACGUGUAGCAGUGAAAUGCGUAGAGAUAUGGAGGAACACCAGUGGCGAAGGCGACUUUCUGGUCUGUAACUGACACUGAGGCGCGAAAGCGUGGGGAGCAAACAGG